UGGCGGCACGCCUAACACAUGCAAGUCGAGCGGUAGCAUGAUUUGUAGCAAUACAGAUUGAUGACAAGCGGCGGACGGGUGAGGAACACGUAGGAACUUGCCCUCAAGCGGGGGACAACCAAGGGAAACUUUGGCUAAUACCGCAUAAUCUCGAAAGAGAAAGGCUACCCGCAAGGGCGGCACUUGAGGAGAGGCCUGCGUCCGAUUAGCUAGUUGGUAGGGUAAAAGCCUACCAAGGCGAUGAUCGGUAACUGGUCUGAGAGGACGACCAGUCACACUGGGACUGAGACACGGCCCAGACUCCUACGGGAGGCAGCAGUGGGGAAUAUUGGACAAUGGGGGCAACCCUGAUCCAGCGAUGCCGCGUGAGUGAAGAAGGCCUUCGGGUCGUAAAGCUCUUUAGGUUGGGAAGAAGGGUAUUCGGUGCAUAGCCGAGUAUUUUGACGGUACCGACAGAAUAAGCACCGGCAAACUCUGUGCCAGCAGCCGCGGUAAUACAGAGGGUGCGAGCGUUAAUCGGAAUUACUGGGUGUAAAGGGAGCGUAGGCGGCAAGAUGUGUGUGAUGUGAAAGCCCCGGGCUUAACCUGGGAAGUGCAUUGCAAACUAUCUGGCUAGAGUAUAUGAGAGGGUGGCGGAAUUUCCGGUGUAGCGGUGAAAUGCGUAGAGAUCGGAAGGAACGUCAAUGGCGAAGGCAGCC
rnacentral:rRNA from 1 species